AACGAACGCUGGCGGCAGGCUUAACACAUGCAAGUCGAGCGGGCCCUUCGGUGUCAGCGGCAGACGGGUGAGUAACACGUGGGAACGUACCCUUUGGUUCGGAAUAACGCUGGGAAACUAGCGCUAAUACCGGAUACGCCCUUUUGGGGAAAGGCUUGCUGCCGAAGGAUCGGCCCGCGUCGGAUUAGCUAGUUGGUGGGGUAAUGGCCUACCAAGGCGACGAUCAGUAGCUGGUCUGAGAGGAUGAUCAGCCACACUGGGACUGAGACACGGCCCAGACUCCUACGGGAGGCAGCAGUGGGGAAUAUUGGACAAUGGGCGCAAGCCUGAUCCAGCCAUGCCGCGUGAGUGAUGAAGGCCUUAGGGUUGUAAAGCUCUUUUGUCCGGGACGAUAAUGACGGUACCGGAAGAAUAAGCCCCGGCUAACUUCGUG
rnacentral:rRNA from 1 species